UUUUCUUAAUCCGAUCUUAUAUAAACCAAAACAAAUUCAUUUCACCCCUCUUAAACCCUGAUUUCAAUUCAAAGUCGUUCUCUUCUCCAAAUUUGUCCCCAAUCGAUGCAUUUCAUAUCUGGAAUCAUCUUUGUCAAUCCGUUAAAGACAAGAGCAAGGCUACCUUUUUUUCCACCACACCAUCAAACAAUGUUGACUAUCUAGCACACUUACCAUUUCAGACUACUCUAGUGUGUAUUGAUGUAGAUGAUGGGAGGUCCAGCUAGGGGAGAAAUAGAUUGGUGUUCGGAUGCAAGGAUUUGAGAUAUCCUCAAGAAUGGUUAGGAUACGGUUGGAAGAAAAUGGAUGUCCAACCACAUAUUCUUGGUAUAAUCUUAUGUGCAAUUGAAACUAGCUCAUAAUCUACUCAAUCCAAUAAUAACGUGUUCUUUAUACAACUCGUGUAAUACAUGGUUUGAGAAUUGUUAUUGUAAUUUUUGUUUUUU